rnacentral:misc_RNA from 1 species
AAGUCGUAACAAGGUAACCGUAGGUGAACCUGCGGUUGGAUCAUUAACAAAUUUUUCGUUCGGUUGAAAUCCUUUUUUCGAUCGCUCGACAUUAUGUGAACUUUUUAUUGAAUCUUGGUGAUUGUUAGAUGUUGAAGUAUUGUACUUUAAUUGAAGACGUUGCCAAUAUUAAACUUUUAUGAAUUUUAUUAACUUGUCUUGAAUUUUAAUUAUAUCUUAAUUUAAACAACUUUUGACAACGGAUCUCUAGGCUCUC